rnacentral:lncRNA from 1 species
UUCCUGGCUAUCUCAGGCAGAAACAAGACUUGUUUUAUAACAAUUAUUUAUCUACAAAUCUCUGGAAGAUCAUUAUCUUUUUUAGCCUUUAUUUAGCAUCUUGCUACAAAUGAAACUUAUCUAUGAAAUAAACUGAAUUCCCACUGAGCGUAUAUUAUACUAUUAUACUACUAAAACUUUACCGUUGAAAGACUCUUAAUUUAGAUGCCAUUAACUCAGAUUUAGUGAUAAUUUGGACAUAGAACGUGAUUCUUUUAAAAAUAACGUUUAUUGUUUUUUUUACUUUUAUAUAUAGCAUUGAGAUGAAAAUUCUUGUGAAUGUGUGUGGGUAAUUCUGAUUUGCAUGUCUCUGAAUACUAGUGAAGAUAAAUAUUUCUCCCAAUGUUUAUUGUCCUUUGUCUACUUUUAUGGUCAGUUUAUGUGCUUUAGUCAUAAACUGUUUUUUUUAAUCAAGUUGAAACUGUUCUAUAUUUAUUUAUGUAUUUUAAUUCCUAAAAAAGAUUUUUUCCCACAAAUCAUCAUUUAUUUUUAAUGAUUAAAAAUGUUUUGGUCUGAAUUUACAAACUUUCAUAUAGCCAAAGAUUUCAAUAACUUGCUUAUUUUAUUUAACAUAAAAAGUCUCACCUACCCUGAGAGUAGAUUUUUACCUUUGUGUUUUUUUCAUUUUCCUUUUUU